GAUAGUCCGACAUGUAAGAAAAAAGCCAACGAUAAAUUAAAACAACAUGUCCAAGAUCCUAAAAAACACAAACUUUUGCCAUGGUGGAAGAAAUGGACAUAUUGUAACGGUUUGAUGAUAACUAACAACAUAGAGACUUGGGGAUUAGUGUAUAGUAUAGGAUAUGGUAUAGAUUAUGAUCGUGAUACAUUUGACCCUAAAUUUAUAGAAUACUUGGCCUGCUCUGAAGAUGCAGAUAUAAUUAAACACUAUUCAAAAAUUAACGCUCUUAAAAAACGAGAAAUUCAAUAUCUUCUUUUUAGUUUGUUACAUAUUAUUACAAAGCAUGCGAAGAAUCGCAUUUUACUGCGGUACAUAUUAAAUAAUUUUUUGGACUUAAAACCAAAACAUGUUGAUAUACCUGCAGCAUUUAUUAUUAUCAUUAAUAACGUAUAUUCCGUAAAUCAAACUCAGGAAAUAAACAGAUACGUUCAAUGGUUGAA